rnacentral:rRNA from 1 species
UACGUAGGGUGCGAGCGUUGUCCGGAAUUAUUGGGCGUAAAGAGCUCGUAGGCGGUCUGUCGCGUCUGCUGUGAAAACUCAGGGCUUAACCCUGAGCUUGCAGUGGGUACGGGCAGACUAGAGUGCGGUAGGGGAGACUGGAAUUCCUGGUGUAGCGGUGAAAUGCGCAGAUAUCAGGAGGGAGCACCGGUGGCGAAGGCGGGUCCCUGGGCCGUAACUGACGCUGAGGAGCGAAAGCAUGGGGAG